UCACCGACGCGAGAUCCCCUUUUUCUCAUUUUAUCCAAACCUUAAUUUUGCUACAACGAUUUGUGAACCCUUUGCUCUUCCUCUUCUUCGUUUCCGUUCAUGAAUCUGAUUCACGAUCAAUCAAUACACUCUCCACUUCUUUCUCGCUUUAAUCUCAUUAGUGGAAUCUUUUCGCUUUUCUCACUCUGAGUUUCUAUAUAAAACUCUUACUCGGAGUUUUAUCUCGAUCAAAAGUGGUUGUAUCUUCUCAAUAGUAUAUUGCGAAGAGUUCAUACGGCGAAUCGACGUUUCCGGUGAUCCUAACUCGAAGAAACCAAAAGGCGUCGAGGCAGUCUCCUCUCCCGGACCGAUCAAACCCAUCGGCAAAAGCGGUGUUGUGUUUCUUCGGGCCUCACGAUCGGCGAUCCCAACUCGAAAAAAGUAAAAGGCGAAGAGGCGGUCUCCUCUUCCACUCCGAACCAAUCGGCAAAACCGGUGUCUCUUCCGGACUCUCCAUCGGCGAUCCCCACUCGAAGAAACCCAAUGAGUCGUAGGAAGAAAGGGAUGAAUCGACCGUGACUGUUAAUUGAGAUACUAUAAGUUACAAUUUUGUGAGUAAAAAUGUGGUUGCCUACUUUGAGCUCAGGCUCAAUUGAGGGAGUGAAGAGAAUAGGGGAGAUGUCGUUACACAGGUUCAUCUCAGUGUCUAUGAUAUAACGCAUGUGAACGACCUCUGUUGGUCUGGCAUAAUUCCAUUCUGGAAUAUACUGGGAGGAAGCCACUUGAAAGCCAAAUUUAUUUAGUUGGUCUGUCGUUGUUAGCUGAAACGAAGAAUCAAAGCCGUCAGUUGGCCCUUCAAGUCUCUAAAAGGUCGAAGCUUCCCAUGCAUCAAGAUAAAAGAUUAAAUCAAAGAUCAAAUUUUGUUUGGAUCUGGCGAUGCCCAUUAUCUGUUUCAUUAGAUUCUGAAUUUUGGUAGGUUUGAGUCGGAGAAGGAAGCCAAGAAAGAAGUUUUCACGAAGUAUCGACUCCAGUGGAGUGGAGUUCUUGAUACUCUCACCAAAGAUUCAUUCAGCAAAUGCUUGGAGGUUAUUCAGUCCCUGAUUAUGAGAAGCUUCAAGUGGAGAAGUUUUAUUUUCAAAUAAAGUACAAUGAGUUUCUGCGUAAACAUCAGGAAACGUUUCGCUUCCUAACUCCCUUCAUUGCUUCCCAACAUAUUUUUAAAUUUGUUAUUGGAUUCCAGAAACGUUAAGAGAGGUCUUGCUUCCAUAGACAUAUUUAUUCCGAAUAGCACUUUGUUUCUCUCUACGCAUUUAAGAAUGAAAAAUUAAAAAUUGACCUA